CGGCGGACGGGUGAGUAACGCGUGGGUAACCUGCCUCAUACAGGGGGAUAACAGUUGGAAACGGCUGCUAAUACCGCAUAAGCGCACAGUACCGCAUGGUACGGUGUGAAAAACUCCGGUGGUAUGAGAUGGACCCGCGUCUGAUUAGGUAGUUGGUGGGGUAACGGCCUACCAAGCCGACGAUCAGUAGCCGACCUGAGAGGGUGACCGGCCACGUUGGGACUGAGACACGGCCCAA
rnacentral:rRNA from 1 species